rnacentral:rRNA from 1 species
UACAGAGGGUGCAAGCGUUGUUCGGAAUUAUUGGGCGUAAAGCGCGCGUAGGCGGCUUUGCAAGUCGGGUGUGAAAGCCCUCAGCUCAACUGAGGAAGUGCGCCCCGAAACUGCAGAGCUUGAGUGCCGGAGAGGGUGGCGGAAUUCCCCCAAGUAGAGGUGAAAUUCGUAGAUAUGGGGGAGGAACACCGGUGGCGAAGGCGGCCACCCUGGACGGUAACUGACGGCUGAGGCCGCGAAAGCGUGGGGAGCAAACAGG